GCUUCAAUGGGGUAGUGGUAACCUGGGUCGUUGCCAUCUCUGAAUGACGAAUGAGUUGUUUAUCGACCCGCCGGGGGUUCGAUUCCCUAUUGAUGCA